rnacentral:rRNA from 1 species
UAGGGAAUCUUCGGCAAUGGACGAAAGUCUGACCGAGCAACGCCGCGUGAGUGAAGAAGGUUUUCGGAUCGUAAAACUCUGUUGUUAGAGAAGAACAAGGACGUUAGUAACUGAACGUCCCCUGACGGUAUCUAACCAGAAAGCCACGGCUAACUACGUGCCAGCAGCCGCGGUAAUACGUAGGUGGCAAGCGUUGUCCGGAUUUAUUGGGCGUAAAGCGAGCGCAGGCGGUUUCUUAAGUCUGAUGUGAAAGCCCCCGGCUCAACCGGGGAGGGUCAUUGGAAACUGGGAGACUUGAGUGCAGAAGAGGAGAGUGGAAUUCCAUGUGUAGCGGUGAAAUGCGUAGAUAUAUGGAGGAAAACCAGUGGCGAAGGCGGCUCUCUGGUCUGUAACUGACGCUGAGGCUAGAAAGCGUGGGGAGCAAACAGG